rnacentral:rRNA from 1 species
UACGUAGGGUGCAAGCGUUAAUCGGAAUUACUGGGCGUAAAGCGUGCGCAGGCGGUUGUGUAAGUCAGAUGUGAAAUCCCCGGGCUCAACCUGGGAAUUGCAUUUGAGACUGCACGGCUAGAGUGUGUCAGAGGGGGGUAGAAUUCCACGUGUAGCAGUGAAAUGCGUAGAGAUGUGGAGGGAUACCGAUGGCGAAGGCAGCCCCCUGGGAUAACACUGACGCUCAUGCACGAAAGCGUGGGGAGCAAACAGG